rfam:Triticum aestivum genome assembly, contig: Triticum_aestivum_CS42_TGACv1_scaffold_456510_5DS
AUGGAUGUGAGGAUCCUUUCCCCAAAUGAUCGACUAUGAUUAUACUGGGGCGCUCAUGUAAUCCUCGUUAGAGGGUUCCAAGCCAGAAAUCUGAUCCAU